GUUUGUGUGUGUGUGUGUGUGUGUGUGUGUGUGUGUGUGUAAGCGCAUGUGGGAGUUUGUGGUUGUGUUUUCCAAACGUAAUGAGUGGGUUUUCAUAGAAAACAAUACAACUCCAGGAAAAAAUGUGAUGUUCAUGCAUGCCAUAUUAUUCAUCGUCUAAAUGUACCAGAACCAGGGAGAAAUCCUUUUUUUUUCGAAAUGUUCUCUCUUCAUCAAUUGUUUGUGAAAACAUUGAUGUUUUUGUUCAAGCGGGUCAGGUAUCGGCAUGCUUUUGUUAUGGUCUCUAUGAGACAUUCAAAUAUUCCAAGAAGUGUGUAAAUCAUACGUGCAAAUAAUAAGAUGGAGCCAACAACAACCAAUCCUUCCAUUCAGGCAGAGAAAGAUAUUCAGAGAGGAGGUCUAUGUUGAUUCUUGAGAAGAACUAGUGGGAGAUUCCUCCAGAGACCCCCUGUCCCCGACCAGGAGAGGAGACAUCUGCCGAGGUUUAAUAAACCUUGUUACCAGCCAAAGAAUUCAAGUCCUAAAAGCAAUCCAACUUGUUUAUAAAGAAGUUGGAAAGGACACUAAAAUAACACUGGAUUAACAAUACCAUUAUAGAAAUUUGUUUAAGGUUAUAGAGGUCAAAUGAGCUACUAUAUGUUGGCCAAUGUGUAUUUACACUGUCGUUUGAUGCUAUUAUGUUGAAUAAGUGAACAACGUCAGUUCACAACUGAGUUGCAGAUUUAAUACAGGCAAAUAACAGUCCCUUGAUUGCUUUUCAUUGUGUGCAAUAGUGAAUAUUGAGUACUUUCAACAGUAGCCUACUGCGUAGUGUAUUUAUUUAAAUAAUGAAAAAAAAUCCAUCUUAUAAAAAUGGUAUAAGACAAAGGUUUCAAGACGCUGGUGGUGACACAAUGUUUUACGGAUUCUAACAACAGCAACAAUUCCAAAAACAUAGGAGUUGUUGGCUGUUGUUGGCUGUUGUGAUGUGAC
ensembl:lncRNA